CAUGCAGGCGGUUUAUCAAGUAGGAUGUGAAAGCCCCGGGCUCAACCUGGGAAUUGCAUUCUAAACUGAUAGACUAGAGUACUGCAGGGGGGAGACGGAAUUCCAGGUGUAGCGGUGGAAUGCGUAGAUAUCUGGAAGAACACCAAAGGCGAAGGCAGUCUCCUGGGCAAAUCUGACGCUCAUAUGGAAAGCGUAGGUGGCAAACCA
rnacentral:rRNA from 1 species